GGUGUUUCAAAGAGCCUGAGCGACUCCGUGCAGCGAACCGCGUGCCCUCCGCCACCUGUUCCUGGCUUCUCAUUUAAUGAAGUUGCGAUCCCAGUUCUCAUUAUUCUUCUCGCUUGUGUUUCGUUGUCUUUCCCACCCUCGUGGCGUAGAGAGCUUUGGAGUCAACCCCAUGCCAGCGUCAGCUCUGCCACCAAGUUGGGUGUGACUUCUCAGAAACUCAGUUUGCUCCUCUGGAAAAAGAAUAAAAACGCUGACCUCGGAAGGUCGUUUUGAGGAUUAAAGACAUGAAUCAGUACAAUGCCUGGCAUAAACUGGUGGUACCCAACCAAUAGGAGCCUUAUUAUUGCCAUGUCGUUACAAUUUGAUCUUCACAUUACAAUGUAAGUGGUAAGGCUUAGACUAAACGCUCCAAACAGCUAAAGCUGAGAGUCCAGAAGAGAGCACAGUUUUGAUUCCUGAUAAAACUGUAUUUGGCGGGGCGCGGUGGCUCACGCCUGUAGUCCCAGCACAUUGGGAGGCCGAGGCGGGCGGAUCAUUUGAGGUCAGGAGUUCGAGACCAGCCUGACCAACAUGAUGAAACCCGUCUCUACUAAAAAUAAAAAAAAAAAAAAUCACCCGGGCGUGGUGGUGCUUGCCUGUAGUCCCAGCUACUCGGGAGGCUGAGGCAGGAGAAUCGCUUGAACCCGGGAGGCGGCGGUUGCAGUGAACCGAGAUCGCGCCACUGUACUCCAGACUGGGUGACAGAGCGAAACUGUCCC
rnacentral:lncRNA from 10 species